CUGAGAGUAUCUUUAUUGCUCUUCUGGUUUAUGUUGAUGACAUUGUCAUCACUGGGCUAGACUAGUAGGCCAUUGAGUCUUUAAAAGCCUUUCUAUACAGCCAAUUCAAAGCUUAUGGAUCUGGGACGGUUAAAGUGUUUCCUGGGUCUGAAAAUUGCCGGAUCUCACAAAGGGUAUUUUUCUAUCUCGACGUCAUUACGUUCUUUAACUUCUUGAAGAUACUGGCUUUUUGGCUUGCAAACCUGCUGUAUUACUUAUGGAUCCCAAACUUCUCCUUAAUUCCUUUGAGGGAGAACUUCUUACUGACCCAUCAAUGUAUAGAAGGCUAGUUGAUGGCUAAUUAUAUUUAACAACAUCUCGCCCUGAUAUUAUAUUUGUAGUUCACAAGCUCGGUCAAUUUGUAUCUGAACCACAGCAACCUCAUCUUGAUGCUGGGCAUCAUCUCCUACAAUCAUCAAAGCCACUCUUGGUCAAGGCUCCUUAUUUUCUUCGAACACCUCUCUCUUUGAACAUAUUGUGAUGCAGACUGGGAUUCCUGCCUUGAUUCAAGAAAAUCCAUAAGCUGCUAUGUAUUUCGAUGGCAAUGAUGGGAGAGGUUGUCUCGACAAGUGACGAUAAAAAGUGUUGGGUGUGGAUAUGAGAAACUGGGGAGAAAUAGAUUAAAUGAUCAAUUAAACUACUUGUACAAAGUAGUUUGACAAAAAUGAUUGAUAAAAUGUGUGUCGGCGAGAUCAAGACCAAUGAAUCUUGUUGCUUUCAAAAACUGUUUUUGAAUUGAGUGGUCUUGAUUUUGUCAAUAACUACUUUGUCAACUUUUUUUUUUUUUUGCUUUUUUUUCUUUUUUUGUAAAUCUACUUGGUAAGCAAAGCAAAACUCUUAAAUGAUAGGGAGGGUAGGAUGAGGUAAGGUAAGG
rnacentral:lncRNA from 1 species